AGGCCAGCCCCCAUUUUAUCCUUUUUAUUUAUUUAUUCUUGAUGACAAACAAUACUUUUUGCAUAAAUCUAAAAAAUAGAAGAAAAUAUGAAGAAACAAAAGAAAAAACAAUCCCCCAAAUCCUGAGGAUUUUCCCCCAGGGAAGUUCACACCAUUUCAGCAAGGGGGUCCAGCUCUGGGAAACGCUGACUUUUACACCCUGAAGUCGAGGGAUGCUGGCGUAAGAUCUCCCUUAAGAGUCAAGUUCAAGGCUCCACCAUAUCCAGGUGAGCACUGAGUGAAGGUGAGCUGGUCGUGUUUGUCUCCAUCCCGAGCCUUGAACUGACUCUCGUAAGCUACUGUCGCUUCUCCAAAUGCAGGGCCACCAGUGACCCCCAAAUAAAGUCCUGGGGAAUUCUGAACCCAGCAGAGCUGAGGCGGCAGCAGGAAAAUCAGGGCAUCAGAGAGAAGGAGAGGGAGGUGGAGGAGCAGAGAAGGAUGGAGGGCAUCUCAACAUCUGCUGCUUGAGGGACCCAGACUAACACAGAGGCUUCCAGCAACCAGAUGUGAGCCCCCAAAGAACUGACAAAGAAAACUCACAGCAUCCCAGGAGGCUCAGAGCCAGGCAGGAGGGGCACAGUUAACCCUGAAUGAGAGCGAGCAACCAGUAUCCUAUCCGUUUCUGAACCAAUCGGGAUGGGAGAGAUUAUACAGCAUGUUAUGGACUGAAUGUUAGCGUCCUCUCCAAAUUCAUAUAUUGGAGCCCUAACCCCCCAAUGUGAUGGUAUUUGGAGGUGGGCCCUUUGGGAUGUGAUCAGGUUUCCAUGAGGUCAUGAUGGUGGGGCCUCCAUGAUGGGAUUAGAGAUCUUUUAUAGAAGAGAAAGAAACCAGAGCUCUUUGUGUGUGUGUGUGUGUGUGUGUGUGUGUGUGUGUGGUGUGUGUGUGUGUCUCUGCCAUGUGAAGACCCAAAGAGAAGGGGGCCAUCUGCAGGAUGAGAGCCCUCACCAGGUACCAGAUCUGCUGGCAUCCCGAUCUUGGACUUCCCAGCCUCCAGAUCUAUGAGAAAUAAAUGUCUGUUAUUUAACCCUCCCUGUCGGUGACAUUUUGUUAUAGCAGCCUGAGUUGACUAAGACAUAGGAGUACCAAAAUCUUUUUUAAUUAAAAAAAUCAGUGGCCUAAAAUUACGAAGGCUUAUUUCUUGCUCGUGUGAGUUGAUAGGUAGCUCUGCUCACCGAGGUCCCUUUAAGACCCAGGCUGACAGACUGUCCCCCCGCCAUGGGCUCCCAUGAUCCCUGACAGGGAAAGGGAACUUGAUACAUCUCACCACGGUCCGGAAAUUUCCUACCCAGAAAUGUCCUACACCAUUUCUGAACACAUCGUGUUGGCCAAAGCAUGCCAUACGGCCAAGCCUGGGACUUCAGUCCAACCUCAAGCCCAGCAAAGACCUUCACCCAAGAAUCCUGUCCUCAGACAAGCUCUCACUCACCUGUGAAGGCGAAAGGAAGGCAUUUGUGAGAGCACCUCCUGAAUCCUUGUCUGUCCACUGCAUCCCUCCUUAGGAAAAGACUCAAGAGAGGACUCAAACCCAAGAAUAAAUGAGACAGAACAGAGCUCACAAAAUGAAGAAAGAUGAAAAGGGAAAGACUUGGUGGCGGCCGCCAUCUUGCUGUGUGCUCACAUGACCUCUUCUUUGUGUACCCACUGGAGAGAGGAACCGGAGAGAGAGAGCUCCAGUGUGUCUUCUG